UGGCGUGUCGUCAGCUCCGUGUCGUGAGAGUGUUGGGUUAAGUCCCGUAACGAGCGCAACCCUUGUCCUUAGUUACCAGCACGUUAUGGUGGGCACUCUAAGGAGACUGCCGGUGACAAACCGGAGGAAGGUGGGGAUGACGUCAAGUCAUCAUGGCCCUUACGGCCUGGGCUACACACGUGCUACAAUGGUCGGUACAAAGGGUUGCCAAGCCGCGAGGUGGAGCUAAUCCCAUAAAACCGAUCGUAGUCCGGAUCGCAGUCUGCAACUCGACUGCGUGAAGUCGGAAUCGCUAGUAAUCGUGAAUCAGAAUGUCACGGUGAAUACGUUCCCGGGCCUU
rnacentral:rRNA from 1 species